rnacentral:rRNA from 1 species
UGCCAGCCGCCGCGGUAACACGGGGGGCGCAAGCGUUAUUCGGAAUUAUUGGGCGUAAAGCGUGCGUAGGCGGAUCGACAAGUUGGGGGUGAAAUCCCGGGGCUUAACCCCGGAACUGCCCUCAAAACUGUCGAUCUAGAGACCGGGAGAGGUAAGCGGAAUUCCUAGUGUAGAGGUGAAAUUCGUAGAUAUUAGGAGGAACACCAGUGGCGAAGGCGACUUACUGGCUCGAUACUGACGCUGAGGUGCGAAAGUGUGGGGAGCAAACAGGAUUAGAUA